UACGUAGGGUCCGAGCGUUGUCCGGAAUUAUUGGGCGUAAAGGGCUCGUAGGCGGUUCGUCACGUCGGGAGUGAAAACUCGGAGCUUAACUCCGAGCCUGCUUCCGAUACGGGCAGACUAGAGGUAGGCAGGGGAGAGCGGAACUCCUGGUGUAGCGGUGGAAUGCGCAGAUAUCAGGAAGAACACCAGUGGCGAAGGCGGUGGUCUGGGCCGGAACUGACGCUGUAGAGCGAAAGCGUGGGGAGCGAACAGG
rnacentral:rRNA from 1 species